UACGAAGGGGGCUAGCGUUGCUCGGAAUCACUGGGCGUAAAGGGUGCGUAGGCGGGUCUUUAAGUCAGGGGUGAAAUCCUGGAGCUCAACUCCAGAACUGCCUUUGAUACUGAAGAUCUUGAGUUCGGGAGAGGUGAGUGGAACUGCGAGUGUAGAGGUGAAAUUCGUAGAUAUUCGCAAGAACACCAGUGGCGAAGGCGGCUCACUGGCCCGGUACUGACGCUGAGGUGCGAAAGCGUGGGGAGCGAACAGG
rnacentral:rRNA from 1 species